rnacentral:rRNA from 1 species
GACAGAGGGUGCAAACGUUGCUCGGAUUUACUGGGCGUAAAGCGCGUGUAGGCGGGCGACUAAGUCGGAUGUGAAAUCCCUGGGCUCAACCUAGGAACUGCAUUCGAAACUGGUCACCCAGAGUGAUGGAGAGGAAAGCGGAAUUCCCGGUGUAGAGGUGAAAUUCGUAGAUAUUCGCAAGAACACCAGUGGCGAAGGCGGCUCACUGGCCCGAUACUGACGCUGAGGUGCGAAAGCGUGGGGAGCAAACAGG